rnacentral:misc_RNA from 1 species
GUGAAGGACUUUGAUAACGGCCAGCAGAGUCCCUACAUUGAUAAUGGCCAACUGUUCGGAAGAGCAGGCAAAGGAUUCAGAAUGGGUUAUGGAAUCGGAGAGAUUUAUCAAUGUAAAGGUUGACGAUGGCAAUAUCGAUACAGCAACAACGGAAUCUACAGAUCGCCCUGAAGUGAUUGUAAAUUACCAAUACGUCCCACCGGAAUGGCUGCAAAACUGCUCACCCCUUGGUCCUGUGGUCCGGGUUCGAAAAUCCUUGGACAGAUUUAUAAAGAGCCAUGGAAAAAAGUUGAAAAUGGCAAUAUACACUCUACUACUUCUGUGCUAUUUCUCAUACUUCAUUGGCGCUAUGGUUUACCGGUUCGGCGACGAGGGUUCGAUUCGAUUACUUGUGUUUACACUGCUUGUCUUAUUUUUCUAUGCAAUACAUACAAUGAAGAGGAUGUUUGGAAACCGAGUUGAAGCUUAUUUCAACACUUUACAUAAAGAACGUAAAUAUCCUAGUAAGAGGACUAGGAAGGUACUGUUACGUUUGGUCACAGCUUACGUCGCCGUUGUGGUCAUUGUGGUCAUCAUUGCUACCGUCAUCCGGCGGGAUCCAUACAGACUCGUACCCGUCAGCGGCAUUGCCAUCUUUACUUUUUGUCUCUUCUUCUUUUCAAAAGAUCCCUCUCAGGUAUCAUGGCGACCAGUUCUGUGGGGCUACAUGCUGCAAUUGGUUUUUGCGUUGAUAGUACUCCAGACGAGUUGGGGUUAUGACCUCUUUGAUUGGUUGGGGAAAAGGGUGACAGAAUUCCUUGAUCACACCGAUGUUGGCGCAAUAUUUGUGUUUGGUGAAAAAUUUACCGAUCACUUUUUCGCAUUUAAGGUGAUGUCAGUAAUAUUCUUCUUCAGUGCAGUAAUCUCAAUUCUGUACUUUUUGGGAUGGAUGCAAGUUCUUAUCGAAAAAAUGGCGCUUAUUAUGCAGUACAGCUUAGGAACCUCGGCAAUGGAGUCCCUACAUGCGGCCGUUAAUGUGUUCGUUGGAUGGGCUGAAACGACGACCCUAGUAAGGCCUCUUUUUGACAAGAUGACGCUAUCAGAGCUCCACACUGUGAUGACGAAUGGUUUCGCGACUGUCGCCGGAAGUACCCUUGUUGUCUACGUUUUGUUUGGGGCUCCUGCCAAUCACCUGCUUUCGGCUAGUGUCAUGUCAGCACCCGCUGCACUCGCUAUAUCCAAGUUGUUUUGGCCAGAAUCUAAAGAAACCAAACGAGACACUUCGAACGAUGCAUGCGUAAUAAAACGGGAAGGAAGAAACAUCGUUGAUGCUGCUUCCAUCGGCGCCAUUACAGCUCUGCCGAUAGUAGCGUACAUUAUAGCCAGUGUUAUUGCGUUCUUCUCUCUGCUGGGCUUUGUCAACGCUACCUUAAUCUGGAUGGGGGAGCGGGUAGGACUGAUACCCCCAGAAUAUCCGAAUCUGACUUUUCAGAGUCACGUGACUGCUGUGUCGUUGCCAGAAUGGUUGGAAUUAAAACGUUCAUCAACGAAUUUUUAGCGUAUGAAGACUUAGGGAAAGUCAUUAAAAAUAACCAGAUAUUUGAGUCUUAUGAUGGGCCAUGGACGAGAACAUCCAACUGUGACGUUUUUCUGCUCGAUAGAAAUCAGACGCUGACGGGUGGGGUCAUCUCGGAACAUUCAGUUGUGGUGACAACGUAUGCUCUCUGCGGAUUUUCCAAUAUCACGGCUCUAGGAAUCAUGAUAGGGGCAUUGACAGCCAUUGCGCCGGAUCGGAAAGAGGAUAUUGUGCGUGUCUCCAUCCGGGCCCUGAUAUCCGGAUGUUUUGCUUGCUUUAUGACUGCAUGCAUGGCAGGAAUACUCUCUGAAUAGGACCAAGAGCCCAUUCCAACUGAAUGAUGCUGAUGCAAUCACUAUAUACUAUAAAUCAUAUAUAAAUCAUAUAUUCAUAUCUAUUUACAAGUGUAUUUGUUCACAUACUUAUUUCUUUUACGUCUCCGUUAAUUACUUUUUGUCCAGCGCUGAUCAUAUCGACUGCUAUUAUGCAGUUGUAUCAGAUUGCCGUGCUGUGUUCAUUUUCGUGUCAAUCAUAUUUUUGAUACAAUGACACAUAUAUGUAACUUUUUCCCCGCAAUCAAAUAUACUAUUGGUAUCGGAUAAUAAAUGUUUACAUUAAUCUAUUAUUGACAUUAUACAAAUGUUAAAGAUAUCAUUUUAGAAGCAUGUAUAAAUCUUAUUUGCCAUGUAAACUGUAUUUUUGCAAUGUCUAAUAUCAAUUGUCACAUUAUUCUUAAACCAAACGUUGUUAUAUUUUUUUAUUAUUCUAUAUUUUCUCCUCUUUUUGUAUUUUUUGCAAUAAACUGUCUCUGU